AGUGAACGCUGGCGGUAGGCCUAACACAUGCAAGUCGAACGGCAGCACAGUAAGAGCUUGCUCUUACGGGUGGCGGGUGGCGGACGGGUGAGGAAUACAUCGGAAUCUACUUUUUCGUGGGGGAUAACGUAGGGAAACUUACGCUAAUACCGCAUACGACCUACGGGUGAAAGCAGGGGAUCUUCGGACCUUGCGCGAUUGAAUGAGCCGAUGUCGGAUUAGCUAGUUGGCGGGGUAAAGGCCCACCAAGGCGACGAUCCGUAGCUGGUCUGAGAGGAUGACCAGCCACACUGGAACUGAGACACGGUCCAGACUCCUACGGGAGGCAGCAGUGGGGAAUAUUGGACAAUGGGCGCAAGCCUGAUCCAGCCAUACCGCGUGGGUGAAGAAGGCCUUCGGGUUGUAAAGCCCUUUUGUUGGGAAAGAAAAGCAGCAGGUUAAUACCCCGCUGUUCUGACGGUACCCAAAGAAUAAGCACCGGCUAACUUCGUG
rnacentral:rRNA from 1 species